rnacentral:rRNA from 1 species
UACGGGAGGCAGCAGUGGGGAAUAUUGGGCAAUGGGCGAAAGCCUGACCCAGCAACGCCGCGUGAGGGAAGAAGGUUUUCGGAUCGUAAACCUCUGUCCUUGGUGAAGAGUUUGAGACGGUAGCCAAGGAGGAAGCCCCGGCUAACUACGUGCCAGCAGCCGCGGUAAU